GGGAUGUACCAGGCAGGUGGAUGGAGCCCCUUCCUCAUGGCUGCCUACCUGGGUUCUGCUCUGGAUGAAGGCAGAGAUGGACUGGGAAUCUGGAGAUCUGCCCCUUUGGCUUUCUUUCUGUCUCCUUAAGGCUCCUCUAUGAAACUCCCAUAGAAGCCUGUGUGAACGUCACUGGUGUGGAAAGUCUCGAAGAUUCAUUACAAGAAGCUGCUGUCUGAGAAAUGAAGCCAGGACUGGGGAGAGAUGACCUACUGGAUCAGCUCCAGAAGACAGAUGGCUCUGUCAUUCAGAGAAAGGAGAUGAAGAACAAGGAUGAAGCAGAGGAAGAGGAUGGAGAGGAGGAUGAGGAAGGCCAUGAGGAGAAGGAAAAUCUCUGAUCUAUAAUUCUAGACACAUUUUCAGUCACAUGAAGAAGUCAGGGUCUUGGCACUUAUUCUCCUCUUGCCUGGAACACUCCUCCCCCAGCCCUUCUUGCUGACUCAUCAUUCAUUUUUCCCCCCAAACUGACCUCCUCCAAAGGCCUACCCUGACCACACUAUCAGUAAAUAAUUCUCCCAUUACCUUCUCAAGUCAUCCUGUUUAGUUCAUUCACAGAAUUGAUCACAACUUGAAACUUCAUUUAUCACCUGCCUCUAGCUAUUAGAAUGUAAAAGGCAUGAAGACAGCCUUUGCCCUACUGAUGGAUACAGCCUCUGUGGAGUGGAGUCCAUGAAUGAGUGAUGGAGGCAGCUGAUGUUCUGGAAGGUAUGGGAGCCCAGACACUGUGCACUUGUGGGUACUGUCCUGAAGUUCUAAAGCUGUGCUGGGUGCUAUGUCAAGAAGGGAAGGAUCAAGGGAGCAGGGGUGGUACCUAAAGGAGCGCAGCUGGUGAGAGGCUGGACAGGGUGAUGAGCAGCUGGUAGGGACACCAAGGGGCUGACUUCUCAUUCUGCAAGCUGAAAAGCUGAUCCAGUCUGAUAUGGGGUCAGCAACACACCCAACUAGGGCGAUGGGCACCCAAUGGUGGUGAGUCCAGAGCCCACAGAUGGCAGAGAUGGAGGGGAACUUAGGAGGAGUAGAGUGUAGUUAAGCACUUGGGCACUGGUAUCCCUUGUACCUGGAUUUGAAUUUCUGAUUUAAUCAUGUACUUGGUGCAUGAGCUUGGGCAAAUUAUCGAUCUGAAAUUUCACUUUCCACAUCUCUAAAAUGGAGAUAAUAUUUCCUAUCUCAUAAAGGUUAGGUCAGAAAAUAUGCACCAAGCACUUAGCUCAGUGCUUGGCACAUAGUAGGUGUUUAAUAAAUAUUGACUCUUAUGACUACUGUGGGGCUUACCUGGUGGCUCAGAUAGUAAAGAAUCUGCCUGCAAUGCAGAAGACCCGGGUUCAAUCCCUGGGUUGGGAAGAUCCCCUGGAGAAGGAAGUGGCUACCCACUCCAGUAUUCUUGCCUGGAGAAUCCCAUGGACAGAGGAGCCUGGCAAACUACAGUCUACAGGGUUGCAAAGAGUUGGAGAUGACUGAAGCGACUGAGCACACACAGGAUUACUAUUAUGCUGUCCAAUAUCCUAACCGAUGGGAAAGGUAUAGCUCAGACAGGAACAGGGGUGAGGCUGUGUCACUCAGUAACUCAGUGUCAGAGCAGGGACUGGCACCCAGGACGAGUACCCCUCCCAAUUGCACUUCUCUCUCUUCCCUUGGUGGUGGCCGGAGGACCAGCCUCAGUCCUAAUGGUCUCCCUCAGUAGGUCCAAGUCAUCUUGCUUCAGAGGCUCCUGUCCCCCCAGGGUGCUAGGGGGGACCUAGACAGAAACCUCCCAAGUUUUCUUCUGAGGAAUCCAGGCUCAGGGUCUUCCCACAGAGCCUGGGAAUAGCCCCCAGAUGGGAUCUUUGUCCCAGAGCUUUAGCCUAGCCCCAGUCAGCUUUCUAGCUUCUGAACUGAAGGCCUCAUGAGAACUCCAGCCAAACACUGGGAAUGGUUCUAUCAGCUCACUUUCAUCAGAAUCAUUAUCUUAGUUUAUGAAGAAAAACACAACGUUUAAGUUAAUUUUAGUCCCCACGAUCCCUGGGAGCUAUAGCAACCAAUCCUAUAAAAGCACACAUCUGUUCACAGUGCAAACAGAUAUCUGAGGAGUCUGCCAGCACCUGGUACUAAACAGCUGAGGUAGAGUUCUUGAUUUGUGCAACUGGGAGAGGUCUUGGGGGUCAGCUGGUGCAGAGAUACUUUCAUGGAUUUCUGACUCAUCCCUUUCAAAACCUGAAGGAAGCCAUGGGCCUUCUCUGAUGAAAAAUGCACAGACACCCGGAGUUUCUCAGGUUCAAGAAUCUCUCUCCCCCCAUUUUUUUUUAACUUUGCAUUUUAUAGUGGAGCACAGCUGAUAACCAUGUUGUGUCAGUUUCAGGUGUAUGGCAAAGUGAUUCAGUUACACAUGUACAUGUAUCUAUUCUUCAAAUCCUUUUCCCAUUUAGGUUGUUACAGAAUACUGAGGAACAUUCCCUGUGCUGUACAGUAGGUCCUUGUUAGUCCUCUCUUCUAUAUAUAGUAGUGUGUCUAUGUCAACUGCAAUC